rnacentral:lncRNA from 1 species
GUUGAAAUUUUCCUAAGUGUCACAUUCUCCCUCAUGUCAUCCUUACCAUGAUGGGUAAGGAUGGAAAAGAGAGAUAGUGGGGGGGGGUACCAUGCUUCUUGAAGUCCAGGUUCAGAACUGACAUUCUGACCUUUGCUUACAUUCCUCCAAUUGGUGAAAGCCACAAGGCUGGAUGGAGAACUUGGAGAUCCACAUUGUUGAAGACUUGGAUCGAGAAGAGUCAAAGAAUGUGGACAUUUGUUUUUCUAUUUGGCUUUGGUAGAAGAAAAUGAAGGUUUGGCACAUGUACAACCGACACCAGUCAAUGGCUCACGGAGCAUUUAGUAAAGGUUACAUCUGGAGGAAUCACACUUCUAUUUCAUCUGGGACUUCGUGGGGUCCCACUAUCCUCUAAGCAUUUGCAGAUGGCGUCAUCAUUUGUCACUUGAGCUCUAGAAGUGCUUCAGGAUGUCCUGUUUCAGUACAACUAUUUGUCUCUGGAGCGUGAACGUCCCCAACUUUGUCUUGCUGAGCUCACACCAGAACUUCCAAAUGAAGAAUACCCAUCAGUGAAUACAAGUUAUCUUGGUUUAGACGUCCCCACAGCAGCGCGGAGACAAGAAGGCAGUGAAGAAAUACUUUCAAACUGCUACAAGAAAAAUAAUUUCCAAUGCAGUAUUAGAAAACUGGAUUUAAAGAGACGAGGCAGAUUGCACAAGGAAGCACACAGGAAAG